rnacentral:rRNA from 1 species
AGCUCAAAUUUGAAAUCUGGCGUCCUCAGGGCGUCCGAGUUGUAAUCUAUAGAGGCGUUUUCCGUGCCGGACCGUGUCCAAGUUCCUUGGAACAGGAUAUCAAAGAGGGUGACAAUCCCGUACUUGACACGACGACCGGUGCUCUGUGAUACGUCUUCUACGAGUCGAGUUGUUUGGGAAUGCAGCUCAAAAUGGGUGGUGAGUUCCAUCUAAAGCUAAAUAUUGGCGAGAGACCGAUAGCGAACAAGUACCGUGAGGGAAAGAUGAAAAGCACUUUGGAAAGAGAGUUAAACAGUACGUGAAAUUGUUGAAAGGGAAACGAUUGAAGUCAGUCGUGACCGAGAGGCUCAGCCGGUUCUGCCGGUGUAUUCCCCUCGGUCGGGUCAACAUCAGUUUUGUCCGGUGGAUAAGGGCGGUAGGAAGGUGGCACCCUCGGGUGUGUUAUAGCCUGCCGUCGCAUACAUCGGGUGAGACUGAGGAACGCAGCUCGCCUUUAUGGCCGGGGUUCGCCCACGUCCGAGCUUAGGAUGUUGACAUAAUGGCUUUAAACGACCCGUC